rnacentral:rRNA from 1 species
GGGCCCGCACAAGCGGUGGAGUAUGUGGUUUAAUUCGAUGCAACGCGAAGAACCUUACCAGGGUUUGACAUCCUGCGAAUCUCUUGGAAACGAGAGAGUGCCUUCGGGAGCGCAGUGACAGGUGGUGCAUGGCUGUCGUCAGCUCGUGUCGUGAGAUGUUGGGUUAAGUCCCGCAACGAGCGCAACCCACGUCUUUAGUUGCCAGCAUUUAGUUGGGCACUCUAGAGAGACCGCCGGUGAUAAACCCGGAGGAAGGUGUGGAUGACGUCAAGUCAUCAUGCCCCUUACAUCCUGGGCUACACACGUACUACAAUGGCCGGUACAGAGAGCAGCCACCACGCGAGUGGGAG